UGUUGAGUGUCGAUAAUAUACGUACUAAUUUCAAGCAGCUAGCAAAAAAAAAAAAUUAAAAACUACUAUCAAACAACACCAGGAUCAAAAAUGGAGAAGAAAUUCUUUGGGCUUUGUCUUUUGCUUCUCUUCUUAUUUGCUUCUGAGAUGAACAUGAUGGUUGAGGUUGAUGGUGCCAAUUGUGCCAAACCAAGCAAGUAUUAUAGAGGCCCUUGCUUUAAUAGUAUAUCUAUAAAGGCUUGUACGCAGAGGUGUAGCCAAGAGAAUUGGCCUAUCGGACUGUGUAAUGGUCUCAGAUGUGAAUGUCAACGGCCUUGUUAAGCAGGAUAUGAUCCUAAUCCAUAAUGUAUGGUGGACAAGAAACGAUAAAAUGACAUACUUGUGAUAUAUGAUGUCAUGAAUGAAUAAUGUAAAAUAUUAAAAUAUAAAAUAAAUGGUUGUCUGCCUACUUUUAUAUGUAUUGUUGUCUUUCUUAUUAGGUUUUGAAAUGGCCAUUAUGUAUUAAUGUGCUCUUUUGAUCCUUGUACUUUUAAACUAUGUGGUUUGAAGCUUUUAGGCUCUAAUAUAAUAUAAUUUUCCUUUCUA